CGGCAAUGUUAAACCUCCAGUAUUUCUUCAGUGUUCACAUCCUGUAUCGAUCACAAAAAAUCGAUUGUUUCACAUUCGGACUACAGAUAACAACUCACUCUUGAAGCUGUGGCAGAGUCUCUCAAGCCCUUGUUGAUUCUUGCUCAAUCGAAUAUCACGAUAGCAGCAGACGACAGUUACCGAGUGGAGCGAAACAAGCAGACGACAUCUCUCUCCAGUACAAGCGUCUUCUCCACUUUGUUUUAGUGAGUGUGUUUAGACGAGGUUCCUACGUGCUUCUGGAGGACAUAUUUUGUAGGAUGAUAGUCCAUGUGAAGGCAACGACAUAAACGAUAGAAUGGGUCUUCUAUCAGAAUUCUGUCCUUCCUAUAACGACUCCUACGGGGAUAGGCAAAGCGCCUUUUACUGUCCUGUCAAAAUGCGACUCUUCACCGCUAACGACCAUUUCUGCUGCGGUAACAACACCCGCAGAUUCUGCUGCCAAGACAUCACGAAGAGCAUUUACAGCCAUGCAGAAUCGGAAUCAAUAGCCUAUUGGAAUGAAUUUUGGCCCUAUUUUGCUGUCAUCGGGUUUGCUAUCAUAUCGGUUCUGUUUGCGCCGUUCCUUUUCCCUCCAAAGAAGUCUGUGAUCAUGUCCUGACCUGAUGUCAGGGUAAACACCAGCCUUACCUCCCCUUCAUGACCUUCUGGAGGACAAG